GACGAACCGUGCGAACGUUAUUCGGAAUCACUGGGCUUAAAGGGCGCGUAGGCGGGUCCGGCAGUCAGGGGUGAAAUCCCAGAGCUCAACUCUGGAACUGCCUUUGAUACUGGCGACCUAGAGUUCGGAAGAGGUUAGUGGAAUUCCCAGUGUAGAGGUGAAAUUCGUAGAUAUUGGGAAGAACACCAGUGGCGAAGGCGGUUAACUGGUCCGAUACUGACGCUGAGGUGCGAAAGCGUGGGGAGCAAACAGG
rnacentral:rRNA from 1 species